GAUGAACGCUGGCGGCGGGCCUAAUACAUGCAAGUCGAACGCUGGAGAUCUAGCUUGCUAGAUCGAAGGAGUGGCGAACGGGUGAGUAAUACAUAAGCAACCUACCCACGAAGACUGGGAUAAUCUCUGGAAACGGGGACUAAUACCGGAUAGGUAAUCGGAAGGCAUCUUCUGGUUAUUAAAGGUUAAAAACACUGGUGGAUGGGCUUAUGGCGCAUUAGUUAGUUGGUGAGGUAACGGCCCACCAAGACGAUGAUGCGUAGCCGGCCUGAGAGGGUGAACGGCCACAUUGGGACUGAGACACGGCCCAGACUCCUACGGGAGGCAGCAGUAGGGAAUUUUCGGCAAUGGGGGCAACCCUGACCGAGCAACGCUGCGUGAGUGAAGACGGCCUUCGGGGUGUAAAGCUCUGUUGUAAGGGAAGAACGGUAGAUAGAGAAUAUCUAAGUGACGGUACCUUACCAGAAAGCCACGGCUAACUACGUG
rnacentral:rRNA from 1 species